rnacentral:misc_RNA from 1 species
AAGCCGCGCAUUUGGGAGAUUCGACGGGAAGGCCAAUUUGGGGGCUUUAGCUGGAUCGCGCGCGCCGGACGGCAGACAUCGAAAAUCUUAGAAAGAAGGCGGUCUAAGCGUAAGCAAGUAAAAUCAGUUAAAACUUUCAGCAGCGGAUCUCUUGGUUCCGGCAUCGAUGAAGCACGCAGCGAAAUGCAAUAAGUAAUGUGAAUUGCAGAAUUCCGUGAAUCAUGAAAUCUUUGAACGCACAUUGCGCCCUCUGGUAUCCGGGGGGCAGCCUGUUCGAGCGUCAUUUCAACCCCUCAAGCCCGGCUUGUGUGAUGGACGACCGUCCGGCCCCCUCUUUCGGGGGCGGGACGCGCCCGAAAAGCAAGUGGCCAGGCCGCGAUCCGGCUUCCUGGGCGAAUGGGCAGUCAAACCAGCGCCCUCGGACCGGCCGCUCUGGCCUUCCCCCAACCUCUGCUGAUUUUUUUUCGAGU